rnacentral:sRNA from 1 species
CUCCGCGUUCCAGAAUCCAAGAUGGCGGGAUCCAGGCAAAGGGGUCUCCGGGCCAGAGUUCGGCCGCUGUUCUGCGCCUUGCUGCUGUCACUCAGUCGCUUCGUCCGGGGCGACGGCGUGGGAGGAGACCCCGCGGCCGCGUUGCCACAUCGCCGUUUCGAGUACAAAUACAGCUUCAAGGGGCCGCACCUGGUGCAGAGCGACGGGACCGUGCCCUUCUGGGCCCACGCGGGGAAUGCUAUUCCAAGUUCAGAUCAAAUUCGAGUAGCACCAUCUUUAAAAAGCCAAAGAGGCUCAGUGUGGACAAAGACAAAAGCGGCCUUUGAGAACUGGGAAGUUGAGGUGACAUUUCGAGUGACUGGAAGAGGUCGAAUUGGAGCUGAUGGCCUAGCAAUUUGGUAUGCAGAAAAUCAAGGCUUGGAGGGCCCUGUGUUUGGAUCAGCUGAUCUGUGGAAUGGUGUUGGAAUAUUUUUUGAUUCUUUUGACAAUGAUGGAAAGAAAAAUAAUCCUGCUAUAGUAAUUAUAGGCAACAAUGGACAAAUCCAUUAUGACCAUCAAAAUGAUGGUGCUAGUCAAGCUUUAGCAAGUUGCCAGAGGGACUUUCGUAAUAAACCCUAUCCUGUCAGAGCAAAGAUUACCUAUUACCAGAAAACAUUGACAGUAAGUAACAUUUAUUUAGAGAGAAUCAAAUAAACAAUGUUACAGUAUCACUUUUCAUUUUGAAUUUUUGAUAGAAAUUAAAUGCACUUAAAUUUGGAUAUGCUUACAUACUCUUCAUUGUUACUCUAAGAGAACAGAGGUGGCUUCAAAGCUCAGUGUAAGUGGUCAUCUGUUGUAAACCCCUGAUGGUAUGUUUCCAUUUAGUCGGUAAAUGUUUAAGCCCCCUACUGUAUAGCACAUGUGAGAGAUAUAUAUAUCUAUAGAUAGAUAGAUAAUCUCCAAGCCUUCAGGAUACAAAUAUGAGUAAGACAGACAGACUUUCUCCCCAGAGAGCUUAUAGCCUAACAGAGGACACACAAAUGUAGCAUUCCUAUGCUGUGUGAUAAAUGCUGCGUUGCAGACACUAUCAAGCGGUCCUGUGGUUAGAAUCCUGUAACUGCCAGGUGGAGGUGGGGAAGGGCAGGAACAUUUUCUCAGAGUUGAGCUGUGCCCU